GGAGGGCAAGUCUGGUGCCAGCAGCCGCGGUAAUUCCAGCUCCAAUAGCGUAUAUUAAAGUUGCUGCAGUUAAAAAGCUCGUAGUUGAAUUUCGGGACCAAUAUGUCGGUCGUGCCUCGGUACGUACUGGCAUCGUUGGUUUCUCCCUUCUGACGAACCAUGAUGUCAUUUAUUUGGUGUCGUGGGGAAUCAGGACUGUUACUUUGAAAAAAUUAGAGUGUUUAAAGCAGGCUCACGCUUGAAUACAUUAGCAUGGAAUAAUGAAAUAGGACGUUUGAUUCUAUUUUGUUGGUUUCUAGGAUCGACGUAAUGAUUAAUAGGGAUAGUUGGGGGCAUUAGUAUUCAAUUGUCAGAGGUGAAAUUCUUGGAUUUAUUGAAGACUAACUACUGCGAAAGCAUUUGCCAAGGAUGUUUUCAUUAAUCAAGAACGAAAGUUAGGGGAUCGAAGACGAUCAGAUACCGUCGUAGUCUUAACCAUAAACUAUGCCGACUAGGGAUCGGAUGAUGUUAAUUUUUUAAUGACUCAUUUGGCACCUUACGGGAAAC
rnacentral:rRNA from 1 species